AUUGAACGCUGGCGGCAGGCCUAACACAUGCAAGUCGAACGGCAGCACAGAAGAGCUUGCUCUUUAGGUGGCGAGUGGCGGACGGGUGAGUAAUGUCUGGGAAACUGCCCGAUGGAGGGGGAUAACUACUGGAAACGGUAGCUAAUACCGCAUAACGUCGCAAGACCAAAGUGGGGGACCUUCGGGCCUCACACCAUCGGAUGUGCCCAGAUGGGAUUAGCUAGUAGGUGGGGUAAUGGCUCACCUAGGCGACGAUCCCUAGCUGGUCUGAGAGGAUGACCAGCCACACGGGAACUGAGACACUGUCCAGACUCCGACGGGAGGCAGCGGUGGGGAAUAUUGCACAAUGGGCGCAAGCCUGAUGCAGCCAUGCCGCGUGUAUGAAGAAGGCCUUCGGGUUGUAAAGUACUUUCAGCGGGGAGGAAGGCGGUGAGGUUAAUAACCUCGCCGAUUGACGUUACCCGCAGAAGAAGCACCGGCUAACUCCGUGCCAGCCGCCGCAGUAA
rnacentral:rRNA from 1 species